GAGUUACCCGACGGCAAAUCCUCCUCCCAUUGUCGUCGGGGACGGGUCGGAACCUCCUCCUCCCUUCGGCCCAAUCUACGAAAAAGACCGGGAUCCUCCCCCCGGUCUUUUUUG
rnacentral:sRNA from 1 species